ACCCAGACUCCUACGGGAGGCAGCAGUCGGGAAUAUUGCGCAAUGGAGGAAACUCUGACGCAGUGACGCCGCGUAUAGGAAGAAGGUUUUCGGAUUGUAAACUAUUGUCGUUAGGGAAGAUAAAAGACAGUACCUAAGGAGGAAGCUCCGGCUAACUACGUGCCAGCAGCCGCGGUAAUACGUAGGGAGCAAGCGUUAUCCGGAUUUAUUGGGUGUAAAGGGUGCGUAGACGGGAAAUUAAGUUAGUUGUGAAAUCCCUCGGCUCAACUGAGGAACUGCAACUAAAACUGAUUUUCUUGAGUGCAGGAGAGGUAAGUGGAAUUCCUAGUGUAGCGGUGAAAUGCGUAGAUAUUGGGAGGAACACCAGUGGCGAAGGCGGCUUACUGGACAGUAACUGACGCUGAGGCUCGAAAGCGUGGGGAGCGAACAGGAUUAGAUACCCUGGUAA
rnacentral:rRNA from 1 species